GUGUCAGCCGCCGCGGUAAUACAGGGGGGGCAAGCGUUGUUCGGAAUUACUGGGCGUAAAGGGCUCGUAGGCGGCCGGCUAAGUCCGACGUGAAAUCCCCAGGCUUAACCUGGGAACUGCGUCGGAUACUGGCGGGCUUGAAUCCGGGAGAGGGAUGCGGAAUUCCAGGUGUAGCGGUGAAAUGCGUAGAUAUCUGGAGGAACACCGGUGGCGAAGGCGGCAUCCUGGACCGGUAUUGACGCUGAUGAGCGAAAGCUAGGGGAGCAAACGGGAUUAGAAACCCGCGUAGUCC
rnacentral:rRNA from 1 species